rnacentral:ribozyme from 11 species
GAAAGCUAACGAAGCAAAUAAGAUAAGUACCAUAAUAGCAUGCGUUUCGUGGCGGAAGUUUUUGUAAUUAACCUUUUGUUUCUUUGUCUUUCCCUGGUACAGCUCAACGUAACUCUUAAUGGCGAGAAUAGCAACAGAAGCUGCCAUUCCAGAUCGAAACCAAAGGUGGUCAACUUUUGAGGAAUGAAGAAUAUUAUGAAAGACUUUCAUUUCGUGUAGUAAGAAGGACGAUAGUAACAAAAAAACUAAACUUUUUAAUUUUUUAUAUAU